AGGUGAAAUUUGAUUUUGAGCAUUUCAUUCUCUCUUGAAAUUUGACAGCAUGCUGACAUUGUGUGAAUGAAGUUAGUGAAGUUCAGGUCAGGCACGAUCUACAGGCACCUAUCGGCCAGUCUAAGGCACAGUCAUGCCUGAAUCCAAUUGAUCUUCACCAUCAAAUGACACCUGAUCAAGGUAUGCAUACUAUCAAGCCUGUCAUUUGAGUUUUCUUGCCAAUCCAAAUAAUGUUACAUGCUGCAGCAUUUCUUUUA